rnacentral:rRNA from 1 species
CCUACGGGUUGCAGCAGUGGGGAAUAUUGCACAAUGGGCGCAAGCCUGAUGCAGCCAUGCCGCGUGUAUGAAGAAGGCCUUCGGGUUGUAAAGUACUUUCAGCGGGGAGGAAGGCGGUAAGGUUAACAACCUUGUCGAUCGACGUUACCCGCAGAAGAAGCACCGGCUAACUCCGUGCCAGCAGCCGCGGUAAUACGGAGGGUGCAAGCGUUAAUCGGAAUUACUGGGCGUAAAGCGCACGCAGGCGGUCUGUCAAGUCGGACGUGAAAUCCCCGGGCUCAACCUGGGAACUGCAUUCGAAACUGGCAGGCUGGAGUCUUGUAGAGGGGGGUGGAAUUCCAGGUGUAGCGGUGAAAUGCGUAGAGAUCUGGAGGAAUACCGGUGGCGAAGGCGGCCCCCUGGACAAAGACUGACGCUCAGGUGCGAAAGCGUGGGGAGCAAACAGGAUUAGAUACCCGCGUAGUC